UCGCACUCCUCUCUCUUUCUCUGGAUCUCUCCCUCCUCUCUCUCUUCCCGCUCUCUCUCUCUCUCUCUCUCUCUCUCUCUCUCUCUCUCUCUCUCUCUCUCUCGAUCUCUCUUCUCGCUCUCCCUCUCUCAUUCUCUCUCUCUCUCUCUCUCUCUCUCUCUCUCUCUCUCUCCACCCACGCUCUUGUUGCCGAAGCCCUACCCACGCACGCCGUCUCUCUCUCUCUCUGAAGCUCGGUUGAGGUCACAGAUAUCUGAUGUGGCUAAUGAGGAAGUCUACAUGCUGGAUAAAAAGUUCAAGAAAGGGAAUCAUGUUUGAGUUCGUGUUCUUGGCUUUAGGCAUCUAAAAGGAUUGGCAAUGGAUGCUUUCUGUAUGUUUUAUUUUUUUAUAAUAAUUAAUUUUUCUAUCACUUUCCAUGUAGUAUAUGACCUUUUGAUCUGCUCGGGGCAUUUUUUCUCUGUUUUUUCAUCUAUUUCAUUAUUUAUUUAUUUAUAACUUGAUUAUUUCUUCAUCUCUAUCUUUAAAAUUUCUUUACCAUAUAAACCUUUACUACUGUCUUGUAAAGCACACUAAACCCUCCAUUCUCUGCAGGUAGAGCAGCUCUUUAAGGAUCAGAGCAUCCUAGUUGCAUGUCAUCUAUUGGACCACUUCUGUGAAAUAAACCUUCCUUAUAUUCAAAGACAUAUAAUUCUAUUGGACCACAUUGUUAUUUUACUUUGUAGUUUGUGAAUUUUAAUUGGUCAGCUUUUGUUUCAUAUAGACAUUGAAUUGGAGCAGCUAGUCUUCCCGGCUUUGUUAAUAUAGCAGUUAAUAAAUCCAUUUAAUUCAUUUUGAUAGUUUGGAGAAAGAAAUACUUGACCGAUUUAAUCUGUAUAUGUGUGUGCAUGGAUUGUUUUUAUUUUGUUUUGAACAUUUAGUUAGUUUUUGUCUCUAGUUAGAUUCUUUUUUUUUUUUCUAUUCCCAUAAAACUAGUUGUGCAGCCCGUUUACAUCCCUACAUUCAAGUGAUGUGCAGUUUGCUUAGGACUUCUUUAGUUGAUAGGUAGAAUGGCUUUCUUUCAUAUUUCUUCUUUGGGUCCAUUUCACAUGACCUGCAUUGCAUUGCUCAUGUAGCAUGGAUACCACGGGCCCCAUAUGUGGAGAUGAUCUAAAUUGCCCAUCUGCUUGGUGCUGUUGGGGAUGGGGCAUGGUACAAAAAUCAUGUGGAGUGAAUCAUCCUAAUGAUUGAUUGGAGUUAAAAAUGAACCUUUGACGAUU